rnacentral:lncRNA from 1 species
AGAAGGAGAAUCCCCAGCCUCUCUGGGCAGCCUGUUCCAGUGUCUGUCACCCUCACAAUAAAGAAGUUCUUCCUAGUGUUUGUAUGGAACUUCUCAUGUUCCAUUUUGUGCCCAGUGCCCCUUGUUCUGUUGCUGUGCACCACUGAAAAGAGCCUGGUCCUAUCCACUUGACUCCGUCUCGUUAGAUGUUUAUACACACUGAUAAGAUCCCCCCACAGUCUUCUCCAGGCUAAAUAUUCCCAGCCUUUCCUCACAGAACCAUAGAAUUGCUCAGGUUGGAAAAGACCUUAAAGAUUGAGUCCAACCACAACCUAACCAUACUACCCUCCACUAAAUCAUGUCCCUGAGGACCACAUCCAAAUGGUUUUUAAACACAUCCAGGGAUAGUGACUCAACCACCUCCCUGGGGAGCCUAUUCCAGUGCAUAACAACCCUUUGUGUAAAGAAGUUUUUCCUGAUAUCCAAACUAAAGCUCCCCUAGCACAACUUGAGGCCAUUUCCCCUCGUCCUGUCACCAGUCGCCUCAUAAAGGAGAUGCUUCAGGCUCCUAAGUGUUCUUACAGCCCUCUGCUAGAUUCUCUACAGAAGUUCUCUAUUUUGAACUGGGGAGCCCAGAACUGGACUCAGUACUCCAGUUGUGGCCUCAUCAGGGCAGAGGUGAAGAAUACCUUGACCUACUGACCACGCUUUUUAAUGCACCCCAGGAUACCACUGGCGUUUUUGGCCACAAGGGCUUACUGCUGGCUCAUGGCCAACCUGUUGUCCACCAGGACACCCAGAUCCUUCUCUGCAGACUUCCUUUCUAGCAGGUACUGAUGCAUGCAGCUAUUCCUCCCCCAGUAUAGGACUUUGCACUUGUCCUUGUUGAACCUCAUCAUGUUCCGCUCUGCCCAGCUCUCCAGCCUAUCCAAGUCUCACUAAACAGCAGCACAGAUUUCUGGUGUGUCAGCUACUCCUCCCAGCUUCCUAUCAUCAGCAACCUUGCUGAGGGUACAUUGUAUCCCUUAAUCAAGAUCAUUGAUGAAGAUUGCAAGCACGACAAGCCCCAGUACCAACCCUUGAGGGAAUCGCUAGUGGUAAAGGGAUCUCUUCUAUCAAGUUCAGCACUGGCCCCGAAUUUUAUAUGCACCAGCAUGGCUAUACCAACACUUUCAGUAGUAGUGUUCAGCUUCAGCUGAGUCAUGUGAUAGUGAAUGGCCACAACUCUGCACAACACUUCCCUUAUAUAAUAUCUCAUUGUUGUGUUAGACCCUGAUUAACACAUGCUCUCCAUUAAAGACUUUUAAUGUAGAUAAUUACCAUUUUCAUUGCAGAAGCCAUUUUAAAAAAUGAUGUCUUCCUUAGGAGUCUGACACCAGUUUGGUCCGUGUUUUUUUCUCAAGCAUGUACCCAGGCAAAAUGCAGAGUUGAGGAUAAAUAGCAUCUAAGAAAUUGAAUAAACAUCACAAUCAUC